rnacentral:rRNA from 1 species
CAGUAGCCACGGUAAUACAUAGGAUGCAAGCGUUAUCCAGAAUGAUUGGGCGUAAAGCAUCUUUAAGUGGCUUUUCAAGUCCGUCGUCAAAUCCCAGGGCUCAGCCCUGGACAGGCGGUGGAAACUACUAAGCUGGAGUACGAUAGGGGCAGAGGGAAUUUCCGGUGGAGCGGUGAAAUGCGUUGAGAUCGAAAAGAACACCAACAGCGAAAGCACUCUGCUGGGACGACACUGACACUAAGAGACGAAAGUUAGGGGAGAGAAUGGGAUUAGAUACCCGCGUAGUCCCUGUCUCUUAUAC